CAGUGGACCCUGAAAGCAACCUUUUGAGUUAUUGCUAUUAUCUCCAUUUUCCAGAUGAGCAAAGUGAUCAGAGAGAUCAAGAAAUUUUCCCAGAGUCAGACACAAAGUCAGUAACAAAACUGGGAUUCCAACUGCACGGCUCCCACUUCUAACUGGGAAAUGUCUCCUAAGUAUGGGCCAUGGGUUGAUCUAAGUGGUGGCUGACUCCUUCACAGACAAGUUUACCUGUUUGUUGUGGAAGAAUCCCUGCAUUGGGUGUUUUGGACAAUAAAGACUGGACCCCUGAUCUAAUGGUACAGGAAACUCUUGGAUGAGGAAACUCCAUCUACCAAGGCAGGGUGGCACCUUCUCUGAAAGUUCUGGCCUUUGAUCACCAAGAAGGCAUGCAAGAGAGUGAUGACUAAAUCAUAGACCUUGGUCCCAGAAAUGACCUUCAUAGAUGCUGCUGCUGGCUGAGGCCUAUCCAAGGCAUUCCAGCGGUGAGGAUUGCUCAGCUACUUCUCUCAGCUCCCUGGCAAUGGCCUGAAGGAUCACAAGGACCUCACCAAAGAAAAAUAAAGCCUAGAAAAGUUAAACAACUCACCCAGGAUCACACAGGUAAGUGGCAAAAUGAGAUUUGAACUCAGGUCUUCUAACUCCUACUCAACACCUUUCCUAUUAUGAGACUGGGUUUCCUUUCUAGGCUCAGAUUUCUUAAAGCAAGGACUAAAUUGUUUUUUUGUUGUUGUUUGUUUUGUUUUUCAGGUCAUUUGGAACACACUUAUUUAAUUUAUUUUGCUUCAGUAACGACACAAAAUUAUCUAAUGGUAUUUCCUAGAGAUUUCUCUUCUGAUUAUUUGUUCAAGUACACAGAACUGGGGAGAUGUGCCUAGCCAGCUUCUCCAACAAAGAAGAGCUAGGGGCUUUAGUGGACUGCAAGCCCAAUAUGUGGCAGUCAACAGUGUCCCCCAGUGUGUGCCCCAAUUGUCCUAUAAAGCUAUGCUAUGGAGCAUUUUGCCCUCAUUUAUUAAAGGAACUUGUUCAAUAUCCCCGUUGUUUGGCAUGGAAUUAAAACUAGAAAAUUGAUGUAGGGGUAGGGAUUGAACUUGCAAAUUCAUCAGAAGAGGACAAUUUCAGAAUGAGGAAAUUCUCUCCACCAAGAGGGGUUGAUAUCUUUUGUGCAACUUAUAUGACCUUAGAGGUUUAGCUUUAUGUAGACCUAGAGUGUAGCUUAGAGCCCUGAGAAGUAAGAUGACUUAUAUAGGGUCCCACAUCCAGUAUGUGUCAAGGGGAGAACUCAGUAAAAGCACCCAGGGUCUUCCUGGCUCUGAAGUCUGUUUUUUUUUUUUUAAUCCAUCAUACACUGUAUAAACAAAUUCUUAAUAAAUAUCUUGGAAUUCCCCUUCCUUCCUUCCUUCUUUCCUUCCUUCCUUCUUUCCUUCCUUCCUUCCUUCCUUC